rnacentral:misc_RNA from 1 species
CUACCAUAGAACUGGCGGCUUCUUGACCUACAUAAUUUUUUAUUUUAUUUUUCUUCAAUCUCUCUUCAAUAGAUAUCCUAAUCCGGACAUGGGGAAAUGUCAAAGUAAGUAGGAUGUAAAAGAGGAAGUUAUCAUCGCGCAAACAUCGUCUGGUGGUGACAAUCAUACUGAAGCAACCCUGGUGCACAUGAAGUCCAAUAACAUUCUUUUAUCAAUUAUCUGCGGUUUUAUUAUUUUGGGGGUGCUGAUUGGAGUCUUCUAUGUACAUAUACAAGAGGUGCCAUAAACAGUGGAUCCAGAAGGAGCUGAGGAGUGCGGCCUUGGAGCGUAUCCUGUCGCGC